GCCCCUCGGCUCGGCCGAGACCGCCGUGCCCAUUGCUCGCCUCGGUUGCCGCCGCUUUAGCCGCAGCCGCUGCUGCCGCCGCCGGGGGAGAGGCAGCCUAUUGUCUUUCUCCGCGGCGAAGGUGAGGAGCUGUCUCGGCUCGGCCCGCGGGGGAGCCCCGGGAGCCGCACGGUGGCAUUUUUCAACUCCGCUGGAGCCAGUGCCCAGGAGGAACAAAGGGUGUGCUGCCAGCCCCUGGCUCACCCAGUGGCCUCGUCCCAGAAGAAGCCAGAGGUAGCGGCCCCAGCCCCAGAGAGUGGGGGUGAGUCUGUGUUUGGGGAGACCCACCGGGCCCUGCAGGGGGCCAUGGAGAAGCUGCAGCGACUUUAUGGAAGGAGAAGGUGGACCUGAAGGAGCGGGUAGAGAAACUAGAGCUUCAAUUCAUCCACCUCUCAGGACAGACAGACACCAUAGAAAGUACAUCAGCCAGGGGGCAGUGUCAGAGACGCAGCACUGGGAGAGGAGGACAUCGUCAGGCUGGCCCAGGACCAGGAGGAGAUGAAGGCUUUUAUCCUAGAUCACCACUGGAUUGCUGACAGAUAGAGGAGGUGGGACCCUGACUAUCACCCCUAAUCUGCAGUGGAUUUGGCUCUCGGCACUCCCAGGCUGGGAGCUGGAUACCUGCCCUGGCAGCAUGGCUCAGACUGCAUGACAGGUACGGCGUGCCCAGGAUGAUGUGCCCAGGCCUCUGGCCGCCUGAGUCCAGCCCCCCACACAACCCCCUCCAAGCUCCCAGCCCCUACACCAUAAACCAUGAGCUCUGUGCCCUCUCUGAUGGUUCCACAUCUGCCACCUUCGGCAUGGAGCCUGUUGUAAGAGCCCCCAGGCUCAGCCAUGGAGACCUUGAGCAGUGGCACUGAGUCCUGUGGCUGGCAGGGAGGGAAGUGAGACAGCCAGCAGCACAAGGACAGAAAGAGGAAAGAGCAAGUCUGCAGCUCUAGAAGGGAGGGGCAGGCAGCCUGGCUCUGAGGCUCCAGGUAUGCCCCCUGUGUGGAGCUGGGGCAGCGGGGCAGGCAGACCAUUCAUGCAGCAGGCAGUGAGGCAUGUACCUACCAUGGCUGAUGCUCCUCAGGGGCCACUGAUAGUGAUUCUGAAAGACAGCAUCAAAUCACAUGGCAGGUCCCAUGCAUGGGUGGGGCAGGCCUGGGGGUGGCGGACACACGCACACGCCAGAUUGUGCACACACAUGCUGUGAGGCCCCACGGCCCGCAUGCACACUCUAACACAUGCCCACAAACAACACGCAUACGUCGCCCUCUCCGCCACCUCCCGGUGCCCAGCACCCUCACCGGCCGGCACGUGCCGCAUGGAUCUGGGGCGUGCAGCCACUCGGCACACUGAAGCACAUGCGUGGGCAGAGUCACAACACAGAUGCUCACCCGCACACAGAGGCAUUUGCACCAGCUCCCUGCACACUCGUGCCUGGCGUGCUCAGAGGACCACCCAUGCUGCUCAGGGAGACAGGGCUUGCUCACUAAUGUCCGGCUGUCAUUUCUCCACCUAAGAGCCUUCCAUGGCUCCCUACUGCCUACAGCAUUGAAUCCCAACAAGUCAUACUCUUUGGACUUUGAAGGUUCUCCACCCUGUGCCCCACCCUCCCCACAGAGCUCUUCAUUCUGUCUCUGUUCCCUGCUUUGGCCAGUGGCUAUCCUCAUUGUGACCCACACUACACCUCUGCCCACACUGCAGCUCUUUACCCAGUUACCCUCCAGUUCCUCACAACGUAUGCCUAUCUCCGUCAUGCCCCGGACUGCAUUGAAGCCAGGCUGCCUUGAAGAAGCUCUCCCAGACUGCCCUUUUCCCCAAGGCAGGGUCAUGAUUUGCCAAAGGUUUCGUGUGUGUGUUAGCAAGACUGGAGUCAGAGCAGGCAUCAAACUUUACAUCCCAUAUGUCACACCUCACCAUAGACCUGGGUGCCAAAUAGCCUGAAGAGUCUGAACUCACGUUGGCAGUUAGGAAAGUGCUCCUACAGACGCAUCUACGGUUAACAUAGCAUCCCUAUGGCCACUGUCUCCCUUGAUCCCCACAGCCAUUCUAGGAGAAAGGCAGAAUGUCAUAAUUUGCUAAAAGGGAUGCUGAGGCUCUGGGAGGGAAAGGGACUUGCCUAAAGCCCCAGGGUGAAGCAGCAUCUCUGGACUCCCAGUCCAGUGAUCUUGCCCAAUACUUUGCUGCUUGCCUAUACCCCUCUAACUUGGUCAACAGCACAUCACAGGGCAAGCCCCAAUCCCUGCUUCAUUUUUAUAUAUGGGCGCUGGUCCCACAGCCCCACUCUCCAGCCAUUUGGAAACAAAAACAGAUGCUAUUGUUCUUCCUUAGAGAACGUGGCCAGUGGAGACGGCACACUGGAAAUCAGAGUGAAUGUUCUUGAAAGAGGGUCACGGGUCAACAAGGCCCAGCCAAAGGAUGCAGUAGAACCAUUUUCCUUAGAAAUCUUUGGGAGUGAAGUAGGCUUCAGCCACUCCCAUCCCUGCCCUUGCGGCUACCACUACCCCAUUAGUUUAGACAGGGUCGGGCGGGGAGGGGUGUGGAGAAGAAAUGAGCUUGCCUGUGGCCCCCAGGCUCCCUCUGUCCUAGCUCAGGUCUGGGUGCCAUUCUUUACACUCGUGUGCUCGCUCACGCACACAUCACACACCUUGCUGGUCACACAGUCACAGACUCGCCUCUGCUCCUGUGGUCCAGUGGCCGGACACCCCCUGGGAUGGCUCAAAGGAGUCAGGACUUGGAAGUGGGGACAUCAGGGUAGCUGAAGGAAAUCCACACACCCAGAGCAUCUCGGAGUUCAGACUCUCAGACCUGAAGUAGGCGCCCCCGGGACUGGGCUAGGAGUUGGACGGAAUGGAGGAUGGAGGACAGCGAGAAGAAAGGAAGAGAAAUGCAAAGUGUGGGCAGCCGCCAAGAGUGAAAAUAGAGGGAAGUGUCAUGCAAGUGCUGGACAGAAGGCGGCAGGUGGGACGAGCCCCACAGCCCCCUCCUCAAAAACGACCACCUCCAGGACUCAGUGAUCCCUGGGGGGCAGGCUCUGCCAGCCCUCGGCCACACGUGGCUCCGGCACCCAUGGUCCCAGUGCCUUGGAUGGAGACGGCCAGUUCUGGCGGCCAGAUGUGGUGCUCUGGAAUCCAGUCCCAUUUCCUUCCUGGCCACGCCUGUCCAGCGGCCUCUUUGGCUGCAUUCAGCCCCUACUUACCUGGGGACCCCGGCUGGGGCACAAGAGCACCAGGGGGGUAGGGCCCAAAGGGAUCAGGGGAAGCCUCUGGCCUGGAGGGUAUGGGGCACACUUCCCCAAGGGCGGACCCAGCAGGAGGAAGCCCAGGAGCUGGGUCCUGCCGCCCAGGAGCUGGGCCCUGCCACCCAGGCCGGGCUAGGGACAUGGCAGGGCCUGGGCAUCCUGGCGCUGGACUUGGGCGACCUGGGAGGCACAGGGAGGGGAGAGAUGGGCGGCCCCGCCCCAGCGCAGUGCCGGCCACACCCAUGCACUGAAGCUCCUCCCUGCCACACCCCAAGGCGGUUGCCGGAGCUUAAGCCCCGCCCCCAGCAGCGAGAACAUCCCACCCCUCCCCCCCCCCCCCCCGCAGCCAGUGCUCCUUGUCAAGCUCCCCCCGUCACUCCAGGUGGGAGCCACCCCGGUGAGGGGGUGUGCCACUUGUCCCCAGGGCACUCCUCUGGGCAUCCCGGGUGGGGGAUUUUGGGGCCGUGGGGGGCAGUCUCUGGUACCUGUGUGCGUCAGGGAUGCUCUGCACCUGCAACCAGGUGUCGUCCACGGGCGGGGGCAUGGUAACAGUGGUCCUGUUGAUGUCACCGAUGAUGCUGAGCGCCUCCUUCAGCGCGUGGUGCAUGUGCAGCAUCUCGUCGUGCUGCUGUGCCUGCUCUGCCAACUCCUCCAUCAGUGUGUUCUGGUUCCCACAUGAGUACAUAUUGGCCAGCGGCUCCGAGAUGAUGAACUCCGGGGUCUGAGAGUGGGCAAACAGGGAAGAAGGUUGGGACCUGGUGCCUGUGCCGCCCUGGCUGCCUUGCUGGGCCCUUCUGGGACUGUGCGCUGGACUUGGAGCCCCUUGGAGUAUGGCUUUUCACACGGGCUUCUAUACCGCUUCGACUGGAAGAUCCACCUCCCCACUGCCUUUUCUCACUCAGAUGGGGACACCGAGGUCCAGAGGAAAAGACACCUGUCAAAUGUCACAGAUCUGGGAGGGGACUUAAGACCUAUCAUGCCAAGAGGA
ensembl:lncRNA novel transcript